UACGUAGGGUGCAAGCGUUAAUCGGAAUUACUGGGCGUAAAGCGUGCGCAGGCGGCUAUGCAAGACAGAUGUGAAAUCCCCGGGCUCACCUGGGAACUGCAUUUGUGACUGCAUAGCUAGAGUACGGUAGAGGGGGAUGGAAUUCCGCGUGUAGCAGUGAAAUGCGUAGAGAUGUGGAGGAACACCGAUGGCGAAGGCAGCCCCCUGGGUCAAGACUGACGCUCGAUGCACGAAAGCCGUGGGGAGCAAACAGG
rnacentral:rRNA from 1 species